UACGUAGGUGGCAAGCGUUGUCCGGAUUUAUUGGGCGUAAAGAGCUCGUAGGCGGUUCGGUAAGUCGGAUGUGAAAUCUCCACGCUCAACGUGGAGGGGCCAUUCGAUACUGCCGUGACUCGAGUCCGGUAGGGGAGUGUGGAAUUCCCGGUGUAGCGGUGAAAUGCGCAGAGAUCGGGAGGAACACCCGUAGCGAAGGCGGCACUCUGGGCCGGUACUGACGCUGAGGAGCGAAAGCGUGGGGAGCGAACAGG
rnacentral:rRNA from 1 species